rnacentral:rRNA from 1 species
CAUGCAAGUCGAACGGAAAGGCCCUUCGGGGUGCUCGAGUGGCGAACGGGUGAGUAACACGUGGGUGAUCUGCCCUGCACUUUGGGAUAAGCCUGGGAAACUGGGUCUAAUACCGAAUAGGACUCCGGACUGCAUGGUCUGGGGUGGAAAGCUUUUGCGGUGUGGGAUGGGCCCGCGGCCUAUCAGCUUGUUGGUGGGGUGAUGGCCUACCAAGGCGACGACGGGUAGCCGGCCUGAGAGGGUGACCGGCCACACUGGGACUGAGAUACGGCCCAGACUCCUACGGGAGGCAGCAGUGGGGAAUAUUGCACAAUGGGCGCAAGCCUGAUGCAGCGACGCCGCGUGGGGGAUGACGGCCUUCGGGUUGUAAACCUCUUUCAGCACAGACGAAGCGCAAGUGACGGUAUGUGCAGAAGAAGCACCGGCCAACUACGUGCCAGCAGCCGCGGUAAUACGUAGGGUGCGAGCGUUGUCCGGAAUUACUGGGCGUAAAGAGCUCGUAGGUGGUUUGUCGCGUUGUUCGUGAAAACUCACA